GUCUACUGCCAUGCUACCUUGAACAACCCAGAUCCCGUCUGAUCUCGGAAACUAAGCAGGGUUGGGCCUGGUUAGUAUUUGGAUGGGAGACCACCUAGGAAGACCAGGUGCUGUACGUG
rnacentral:rRNA from 1 species